GUUGCCGUAGCGGAGUGGUUAAGGCGAUAGACUUGAAAUCUUUUGGGAUCUUCCCACGCAGGUUCGAAUCCUGCCGACAACG
rnacentral:tRNA from 1 species